UUAGGUGUCCCAGGCAUAGAGGAACCACACCAACCCAUCUCGAACUUGGUGGUUAAACUCUACUGCAAUGACGAUACUAUAGGUGAAGCCCCAUGGGAAAAUAGCUCGGUGCCAGGA
rfam:Picea glauca, whole genome shotgun sequence.